rnacentral:siRNA from 1 species
AACUACCCCAUACUUAUCAACGAA